rnacentral:lncRNA from 1 species
AUGGCUGGUUCCAUCCCAUCCCUCAGCAACGCUGCCCCCUCCCCAGGGACCACAGCCAUGCCCUGCCAGACACAUCCCGCCCCGCACCCUUCCGCCCAGGAAGGCUUAGGACGGGCAGAGCAGUCGCACCUGCAAAACCCUCCGUGGGACCGUGACGAGCAGCACAGCCGUGGCGCCCCCUCACCCGGUGCCCGGAGCUGCCCGGGGUGGAUCCGGCUCAGAAGAGCGGCUCGGUCCCGGGGGGAGCUGGGGCAGGGGCAGGGUGCGGGGCGAGGGCUGAGCAUGGCGGAGGGGCCGCCCGGGGGUCCGGGGUGGGCGGCUGCCGGAGGCGUGGGGGUGAUGCGAGUCCAGGCCCCGGCCCCGGACCGAGCCGAACCGGACGGGGCCAGGCGGCGGGCGCGGUACCGGCCCCGCCGCAGGAAUGCGGCCGCCCGCCCCGCCCCGCCCGCAGAGCAAACACGGCCGGGGCGGCUCCGACCCGGCCCCGCGCCCCACGGGGCCCACGCGGCGGCGGCGGCUCCUGCUGGACGGGCCGGCGGCUCUGCGCCGAGAGCCCACGGGGCGGCUGCAAGGCCGGGGGUGCUGCCCGGGGCAGGGUCCUGCCGGCCCGCGCUCACCGGCCCGGCCCGCCCGCAGCACGCGGCCCCGGAGGAGGUGAGUGCAGGACCCCGGGCCAGACGGGGCGUCCCCGGGGGACGUGGGGCUGCCCCAGCGCGGGGCUCCCAGCGGAGCUGGGGGCCGGCACAGCCCCGUCGGGGCGGCUGCAGCAGCGGGGCCGCUCCGGGGGUCUCCCGCAGCUCCGUCCCCGUCGGGUUGGCUGCAGCAGUGGGGCCGCCCCAGGGGUCUCCCGCGGCCCCGUCCCCGUCGGGUAGGCUGCAGCAGUGGGGCUGCCCUGGGGGUCUCCUGCGGCCCCGGCCUGUCGGGAGCGGUGGAGGUUGGCUGGGAGCGGCAGGUGCUGGCAGAGUGGCUCCCGCCAGUGCUGGGUGCAGGGCUGCCGUGAGGGCUGCGGCUCUGACCCUCUCCCCACAGGACAUGCAGGGACACAUGCAGGGCUCCGACGAUGGCAUCAUGCGGCUGCAGCAUCAGCUCGGGGAUCUCACCCAGGUGGAGUCUGGGGACGAAUCUGUGCUGGGGUCCUGGAGCCCCCAGGACCUGCGUUUCCCUGGUGCGCGCAGUGGGUGCAGCCAGCACCCUCAAGCACCGGGCUGUGCAGGCAAGACCCUGCAACAGGCACCCAUGUCACCCUGUCCAGGAGAAUGA